UUGAAAAGAACUUUGAAGAGAGAGUUCAAGAGUACGUGAAACCGUUCAGGGGUAAACCUAAGAAACCCAAAAGAUCGAACGGGGAGAUUCAUCGUCAGCGGCGCUGGCUUCGCGUCGGUGGGCGAUGUUCCGCGGAGCCCUUGCGGAUCCUACCGCGGACACGCUACCGUGCGUCGAUGUCCGGCGCUCGUCGUCGUGCACUUCUCCCCUAGUAGGACGUCGCGACCCGCUGGGUGUCGGUCUACGGCCCGGGUGCGGUGACUGUCGCGUCGCCGGUAAAACGGCACGCGGCAAACCCUCGGUCGCCCGGCCGGCUGCCCGGCGGUACACGCAUGGUAUCAGGCCGCACUCUUCUCACGUGUGCGUCGAGACCGUCGCAAGCGCGCGCCACGGUACUCGGAGGUUACGGACCUAGCGCCGUCCCCGGUCCUGGCCCGCUGUUGGUCGUACGGAACUCCUUCGACAGGCCUGCAAACAAUAUACCGGUCGGCGACGCUACUGCUUUGGGUACUCUUAGGACCCGUCUUGAAACACGGACCAAGGAGUCUAACAUGUACGCGAGUCAUUGGGACUAGCGAGACCUAAAGGCGCAAUGAAAGUGAAGGUCGGCCCUGGUUGUCGAUCGAGGGAGGAUGGGCCGCGUCGCGAUGCGGCUCCGCACUCCCGGGGCGUCUCGUUCUCAUUGCGAGAAGAGGCGCACCCAGAGCGUACACGUUGGGACCCGAAAGAUGGUGAACUAUGCCUGGUCAGGACGAAGUCAGGGGAAACCCUGAUGGAGGUCCGUAGCGAUUCUGACGUGCAAAUCGAUCGUCGGAACUGGGUAUAGGGGCGAAAGACUAAUCGAACCAUCUAGUAGCUGGUUCCCUCCGAAGUUUCCCUCAGGAUAGCUGGCACUCGGCCGUUCCGCCAGGAACGCGCGCGAGUCUCAUCUGGUAAAGCGAAUGAUUAGAGGCCUUGGGGCCGAAACGACCUCAACCUAUUCUCAAACUUUAAAUGGGUGAGAUCUCUGGCUUUCUUGAAUUAUGAAGCCACGAGCAUCUCGGAUCAGAGUGCCAAGUGGGCCAUUUUUGGUAAGCAGAACUGGCGCUGUGGGAUGAACCAAACGCAGAGUUAAGGCGCCCAACUCGACGCUCAUGGGACACCAUGAAAGGCGUUGGUUGCUUAAGACAGCAGGACGGUGGCCAUGGAAGUCGGAAUCCGCUAAGGAGUGUGUAACAACUCACCUGCCGAAGCAACUAGCCCUGAAAAUGGAUGGCGCUGAAGCGUCGAGCCUAUACUCUGCCGUCAGCGGCAAGUGGGGCGGCCGCGCGCAAGCGCGCCGUCACGAAGCCCUGACGAGUAGGAGGGUCGCGGCGGUGUGCGCAGAAGGGUCU
rnacentral:rRNA from 1 species